rnacentral:rRNA from 2 species
GGGGAAUAUUGCACAAUGGAGGAAACUCUGAUGCAGCGAUGCCGCGUGAGGGAAGAAGGUUUUAGGAUUGUAAACCUCUGUCUUCAGGGACGAAAAAAGGACGGUACCUGAGGAGGAAGCUCCGGCUAACUACGUGCCAGCAGCCGCGGUAAUACGUAGGGAGCGAGCGUUGUCCGGAAUUACUGGGUGUAAAGGGAGCGUAGGCGGGAUCGCAAGUCAGAUGUGAAAACUAUGGGCUUAACCCAUAAACUGCAUUUGAAACUGUGGUUCUUGAGUGAAGUAGAGGUAAGCGGAAUUCCUAGUGUAGCGGUGAAAUGCGUAGAUAUUAGGAGGAACAUCAGUGGCGAAGGCGGCUUACUGGGCUUUAACUGACGCUGAGGCUCGAAAGCGUGGGGAGCAAACAGGAUUAGAUACCCUGGUAGUCCACGCCGUAAACGAUGACUACUAGGUGUGGGGGGACUGACCCCUUCCGUGCCGCAGCAAACGCAAUAAGUAAUCCACCUGGGGAGUACGACCGCAAGGUUGAAACUCAAAGGAAUUGACGGGGGCCCGCACAAGCAGUGGAGUAUGUGGAUUAAUUCGAAGCAACGCGAAGAACCUUACCAGGUCUUGACAUCGUAUGCAUAGCUCAGAGAUGAGUGAAAUCUCUUCGGAGACAUAUAGACAGGUGGUGCAUGGUUGUCGUCAGCUCGUGUCGUGAGAUGUUGGGUUAAGUCCCGCAACGAGCGCAACCCUUACUGUUAAUUGCUACGCAAGAGCACUCUAGCAGGACUGCCGUUGACAAAACGGAGGAAGGUGGGGAUGACGUCAAAUCAUCAUGCCCCUUAUGACCUGGGCCUCACACGUACUACAAUGGCUGUAAACAGAGGGAAGCAAAGCCGCGAGGUAGAGCGAACCCCUAAAAGCAGUCUUAGUUCGGAUUGUAGGCUGCAACCCGCCUACAUGAAGUCGGAAUUGCUAGUAAUCGCAGAUCAGCAUGCUGCGGUGAAUACGUUCCCG